CCGAGAAUAUUCGACAAUGGGCGAAAGCCUGAUCGAGCGAUACCGCGUGGUGGAUGAAGCGCUUCGGCGCGUAAACAUCUUUUAUGGAGGAGGAAGUCAUUGACGUUACUCCAUGAAUAAGGGGCUCCUAACUCUGUGCCAGCAGGAGCGGUAAUACAGAGGCCCCAAGCGUUACCCGGAAUUACUGGGCGUAAAGAGUGCGUAGGUGGUCGUGUUAGUCGUCCGUCAAAACCCAGGGCUCAACCCUGGAUCCGCGGGCGAAACGGCACGACUUGAGGGCGUGAGAGGUGCAUAGAACUCAUGGUGUAGGGGUGAAAUCCGUUGAUAUCAUGGGGAAUACCGAAAGCGAAGGCAGUGCACUGGCGCGUUCCUGACACUCAAGCACGAAAGCGUGGGUAGCGAACGGGAUUAGAUACCCCUGUAGUCC
rnacentral:rRNA from 1 species